UAGACGUUAGCUCAGUGGUUAGAGUUUCCGCUUGUUAAUUUCGGGGUCCGCGGUUCAAGCCCACGUCUAC
rnacentral:tRNA from 1 species